AUGGUUGCUGGUUUGUUGGGAGGUAGAAGCUGGAUUUUGACUCUGGGAAUGGACAAGCCACCAAGACCCCAGGCAGGGAGAAGAAGAGAAAGCAAUGGGUGCUGGGGCCUCAGAGGGGCUGAUAAUAGUGAGAAAAAACUCUUAUUGGAGUCACUGCUCAUGUGUUUCUUCUCAGUUAUACGUACACCACAACUAUUACAUUGCCCGAAUAUGCCUAACUACUAUGAUUGCAAGAAACAGUGCAACUUUUAUUCAGAUUGUGGUAUUGGCAGUGAAUGCUGCUUGUCUGUCUGUGGAAAAAUCUGCAUGAAAAUGCCAGAACCUGAGACCCUCAGUGAUAGCAACCACCCCACCACCACCACGGUGGUGUCUACUGUUGUUCCCUUGAAUUUCACUGAGAUGUUCCAGAAGCAUCAUCAUCAUCAUCAUCAUAACACUACCUGAUAAUCAGUGGGACCAUUGUCUUGUCUCGGCGGGUUGGGGGAAGGAGGAGGACAUGUCUCCCCUACUUGUCAACCCUCUUCUCUGAACAAUUAUAUUGUCAGCUUCAGUUCAUUGACAAAUAAACAGUGGCAGUAACCCA
rnacentral:lncRNA from 1 species